ACUCCACCUGGCACAGCACCCUCCUCACUGGAAUACCUUCAGAAAUUGUCUUAGAGCUUACAUUUCACCCCUAAGGCAACAUUCUGAGGUCAGCAUGUCUUUGGAGGGCAAUCACUUGGCAGAGCCUCUGACUUCUCAUGGACUUUUCCAACUUCAGUGCUGAAUGUGGCCCCAAAGGAAGAUGAGUCCAGAGAGGCUUACAGCACCACACUAAUGGAAAUAUCUUCUCUGGAAUUCUCAGCUGGUCAAAUACAUUCCAAAUCCACUCCUAUGUCAUAACAUGGAGGAGAUGGAGGGAAAUAUUGGAAAGCACAAGCUUCUCAUCUUGACUUCACUCCUACACCUAAGAGUCACCACAUCUAAUUGCUUUUGGAAGCUUCAGGUUUCAGGAACAUAUAUUAUUUGAGUCCUUGAAGAAACGAAUUCAUUCACCACACCCUUUUCUGCUGGGAGCUGUCUGGCCACAUGUUUUCUUAGGAUUUGCAUCAAAAUUAAAUAUCCAACAGUAACCACCUGCAGCCUGCACAUAUGU